GGGGGGUGCGGGUGACACACCUAAUUCAAUGUUGAUUUUUCUGGCCACCGAAAAUAUUCCUUUUUACGGACCUGCUGGAGCUCCUUAGAUUAACAACCUCGGCCGGCACUCAUCGCCCCCACCCUGGCAAAGCUUCCCAGCCAGGGAGAAGGUGUGACUUCAGACUUCGUGGUAAGGAUGGGGGUUGGGGAGGCGGAAUGCAGGCCGGUGUGUGAGGUGAUUGUAACCAGAAACGCCUAGGCAGGCAUCUCGCUUCUGUCCUGAGCGGCCGCUGGCAGGCAGCCGGACCGGGAGCCGGGAGCCGGUCCGAGGUGCCCUGACUCGCCGCUGACCGCCCCUCCUGGGCCGCGCCGAUAGCUUAUCGGGUCCACUCUGGGGGCGCCCAGUGCUACAACCGGAAACGCGGCUGGAGGCCAGUGGAUGCUUGAUGGAGCAGUUCGCGCCGUGGUGCGCGCGCGCCAGGGCUUAGGCUCCAAGUAAAGGCCUUCUUCAUCCAUCCACCCACAACCAGCUCGACCUGGGACUCCUGGCUCAGGCUUGGCGUGGGCUCCAUCCCACCGCGAUGCUAGCAUGCGUAUUGGGGUGCCUUGUCUUGGGGUGGGAGAACCUGUUGUAAGAAAUUGUUUGUGGUAUAGUCGAAAAUGACAGAAAUUUAGUCUGAAGUCUUGAGUUUAGGUCCAGGCUUUCCACUACUGUGCAUUCCUGGGCCGCUUGCUUAACCUCUCUGGACCCAGCCUCCUCAUCUUGCAGAGAGAAGUUCUAUUAUGAACUAAGUGGGUUGUUGGCGUUUGGUAAGAUGUAGAGUUGGAAGAUCUUUAUAAAGUAGAAGAAGCCUUAUUUUUGGUUGUCUAUUGUUAUUAGAACAUUUUGGCACUGUCUGGGGAAAGUCAGCCGGCACCUCAGCUGACUGGGGCGUAUGUUCCCGCAGAAGGAGACCCGGGCGGGGUCAAACAGGUUGAACCAUUGCCCUCUUCUGCUCAGAACAGGUGUCCCCAGCCUCGGGGAAAGACAUUUGGAAGGAAAAGCAGGGGGCGUCAGUGACCCUCCGAGGGCUGCAGAGGCUAGCCAUGUGCUCCUCUGAGGCCUUAAUCCCAGUAUCCCAAACAAGCCGCUCAGGACUGGGUCCCCGGCAGAUCGCCGCCCGAACUCGGCCCCCAGUUCGUUUCUUCCAGCGCUUGGCCUGGGCUCACCGCGCGCCCUCACCCCGGUCCAGCUGCGCCUAGAGUUCACUCGGGGCAGCAGAGGACCCGCGAGUAGGCGCUCAGACAGACAGACGCCGCGGUGCCGGGCGGUCUCCGGCUGCGCCCGGGUCUGCGAAUCAAAGGAGAAGCGUCCUUCUCUCACCCUCUCACCCCGCUCCGCUGGCUAGCCAAGCACGGAACCCGCCAGGCUCUGGCCAACCGGCUCACAUGGCCCGGAGCCCAGAGGCUCGCUGAGGCGGCUUCUCUUUACUUUAAACAGGGGGCCUCAUAAGACCUGUUGAGGGGCCCUGCAACACUGUAUACAGAAUCGCCUAUUUAAGAUGGCAAAGUACCCGUGGAGACACUGAUGAAAACUAUGGACUUUCUCCAGAAAAAUACACCCAAAAUACAAUUUUGAGACCAGCAUCCAGGCUCUGAAGACCUGUGACAGCCAUCCAUGGAGUCAUGUUAAGAACCUCCACUCCAACUAACCCAAAGCUCACAGCCCUGGAGGAGAAGAAGCCUGUUUGGGGAAUUCUACCUUGGCUCCAUGUCUCUGAAGAGGCUUGUCCCAGGGAAUAUAAUGGGAUCCUCGCUCACACACAACCCAACAGCCGACCCACAAUGGCACACCUCCCAGUUAUUGCCUUAGUCCGGCAAACCCCUGGCUAAGCAUCCACAGCCGAGCUGAGGGCAGUGAGAAAAGUUCAAGUCGCCAGCUGAAGUGGUCUUUAACACCCCCCCCCCGGCCUUCUCAGCCUCACUGUUUAUCCAUAUGAAGCGCUCUCCUUCCCGGCCCACUUCCACCCCCACCUUUCUGAGAUCGGCUAUAAAAA
rnacentral:lncRNA from 10 species